rnacentral:rRNA from 1 species
AACGAACGCUGGCGGCAUGCCUAACACAUGCAAGUCGAACGAGACCUUCGGGCCUAGUGGCGCACGGGUGCGUAACGCGUGGGAACCUGCCCUUAGGUUCGGAAUAACUCCCCGAAAGGGGUGCUAAUACCGGAUAAUGUCCUCGGACCAAGGAUUUAUCGCCUUUGGAUGGGCCCGCGUUGGAUUAGCUAGUUAGUACGGUAAAAGCCUACCAAGGCGACGGUACAUAGCUGGUCUGAGAGGAUGAUCAGCCACACUGGGACUGCGACACGGCCCAGACUCCUACAGGAGGCAGCAGUGGGGAAUCUUGGACAGUGGUCGAAAGCCUGAUCCAGCUAUGCCGCGUGAGUGAUGCAGGCCUUAGAGUUGUAAAGCUCUUUUACCCGGGAUGAUAAUGACGGUACCGGGAGAAUAAGCUCCGGCUAACUCCGUG